UACGUAGGGGGCAAGCGUUGUCCGGAAUUAUUGGGCGUAAAGAGCGCGUAGGCGGUCCGAUAAGUCGGCUGUGAAAGUCAGGGGCUCAACCCUUGAAAGCCGGCCGAUACUGUCGGACUAGAGUCCGGAAGAGGCAAGUGGAAUUCCCGGUGUAGCGGUGAAAUGCGUAGAUAUCUGGAGGAAUACCGGUGGCGAAGGCGGCAUCCUGGACCGACAUUGACGCUGAUGAGCGAAGCUAGGGAGCAACGG
rnacentral:rRNA from 1 species